CACACACUAUCACUCUCACUAGAUCUCUCUCUUUCUCUCUCACACACACACAAUAACAAUUCAACUAGUUGUAUUACAUGCAUGUAGAGCUAGCUAGUUUAGGGUACUGAAGUUGCUAGUAAUGAAGCAAAUCAAGUGGUAUCACAUACAUCUAUCCCUAUUUCUACAUAUAUCGUAUAAAUUACUAGCAAUUUGUAGUAUUUCAUGAACAAAUUUGUAUAUACACGUACUGGCGCACUGCAUAUAUGCCUGGCUCCCUGUAUGCCAUCUGCAGAGGUUGUCGAAGAAAAUCGACGGCCCUUUGUAGAUGGCGUAUGAGGAGCCAAGCAUGUAUCCGUACAUAGUAUAUGUGUUCACUUAAAAUUUGAAUCUUUUGAAACAAAAAAUUAAAUAGAUCUUAUUAGAUUGAAUACUAGGAAGGUUUGUUUGCGCAAUAGGAGUUAGAUUACUAAUUUAUGCAAGUGAAGUCCCAUUUCACAUUUAUUUUUUGGCUUGACACGUUUUCAAAUUUUAUUGUUAUAUUUGAUUUUAAUUUAAAUUUAAAUUUUAUAUCGGAUACAUGCGACUAUUUUUUGGCACUUAAUUUCAAGUUUUCAUGGUCAAAUAGAAAAUUAACCUUUGAUUGGGUAAAAUUUUUUAAUCUUCAACUUCAAAUUAGUAAGCUUAUUGUUGCUAGUUUAUUUGUCCCGUGUUAAAUAACUAGCUAUGAGUUGAUUUGUAGCACAUCAGAUUCAAUAAUUUUAUAUAUUCGACAAUAAAUCACCCCUAAAUAUUGUAUGUAUGAAAUAUACACGAUGAGCAUAAUUAAGAUGUUUCCAGUUCGAAUAUCUUCAUUCGUAGAAUUAAAUCGGGAAAAAAAAUUUCUACUAGAGGAAGAAUGUAAGCAAAGGUGACUUUCAAUGUAGUACAAUACUUGAUAGGGAAUAUAUUAAUUAUAUACCAACUUCACGUACUAUUUCUCUAAUUGGGCUAAAAGAUGAAUCACAUACCAAGGGCUCCCCACAUUCCGGCCCGACAAGAUAUCUGAAAGGAUGUAAAGCAGCUUCUCAGCGGCCCGCUAAGGGGGAGGUUAACUGCACACGAACGUGAGCCCACAGUCAAGGCUCAUAAUGGGCAUGUGAAAUGUUACUCCCAACCUACAGGCUCCAGGAUCAUGAAUAGCUGGUUACGUGAAGAAAAUGAACCAAGAUUACUUCAGCCUCAAAUUUUAGGAGUUGGAAAAUGGAUGCUUAUCGCUUUUGGCCAAUAUAUGAUUGUUUGGGACAAGGACAA